rnacentral:rRNA from 1 species
UACAUGUGGGGCAAGCGUUGUUCGGAAUUACUGGGCAUAAAGGGUGCGUAGGUGGUUUGUUAAGUCAGGGGUGAAAUCCCGCGGCCCAACCGUGGAACUGCCUUUGAUACUGGCGAACCUGAGUGCGUGAGGGGUAGGGGGAACGAGCAGUGUAGCGGUGAAAUGCGUAGAUAUUGCUCGGAAGGCCAGAGCCGAAGGGGCCCUACUGGUGCGUAACUGACACUGAGGCACGAAAGCGUGGGGAGCAAACAGG